rnacentral:rRNA from 1 species
AAUUUUGGACAAUGGGCGAAACCCUGAUCCAGCCAUCCCGCGUGUAUGAUGAAGGCUUUCGGGUUGUAAAGUACUUUUGGCAGAGAAGAAAAGGUAUCUCCUAAUACGAGAUACUGCUGACGGUAUCUGCAGAAUAAGCACCGGCUAACUACUUGCCACCAGCGGCGGUAAUACGUAGGGUGCAGACGUUAAUAGGAAUUACUGGGCGUAAAGCAUGUGUAGGCGGUUCGGAAAGAAAGAUGUGAUAACCCAGGGCUCAACCUUGGAACUGCAUUUUUAACUGCCGAGCUAGAGUAUGUCAGAGGAGGGUAGAAUUCCACGUGUAGCAGUGAAAUGCGUAGAUAUGUGGAGGAAUACCGAUGGCGAAGGCAGCCCCCUGGGAUAAUACUGACGCUCAGACACGAAAGCGUGGGGAGCAAACA